GACGUAGGGCGCGAGCGUUGUCCGGAUUUAUUGGGCGUAAAGAGCUCGUAGGCGGCUUGUCGCGUCGACCGUGAAAACUCGCAGCUCAACUGCGAGCCUGCGGUCGAUACGGGCAGGCUAGAGUUCGGUAGGGGAGACUGGAAUUCCUGGUGUAGCGGUGAAAUGCGCAGAUAUCGUAAGGAAGACCAGUGGCGAAGGCGGGUCUCUGGACAGUUCCUGACGCUGAGGCACGAAGGUCAGGGGAGCAAACGGG
rnacentral:rRNA from 1 species